rnacentral:siRNA from 1 species
CACUAUCGCCACCCACCACCCCA